AAUUGAUUGCUCCCCCGCAGGCUGCAGCCCGUCGUAACCCUAACCCUCUGGAUCCCGCUCGUGGCUUGCCCGCCGCUCUCCAAUCUCCACUCGUACUUCACACCCAUCCUCUGAUGGAUCCUCGCUAGCCCCUUCCUCGUUGACGGCAUGGUUGUGUGGUAGCCAUAUGGCGUGGGAUGUGGCGGCGGCGGCGGCGGCGGCGGCUCAUCUGGAUGUAGCACCAGCACAGGCGGCAAUAGUGUCGCUGGAUGCUGAGAAGCGGUGGCGACGUUGGAUGUGGCACCCGUGGGCGGCGAUGGUGGAGCUAGAUGCGGCAACAGCGUGGGAGGCAGCACAAGCCCGGUGACCCACGUCGACUUCCCCAACAGCUUUGCCUUUGCCGUCACCACAUCAUACCUCUGCAUACCAGGUUGGUUACCGACUGCUGCCACCAUCCCCAUCUCAUCUCAUCUCAUCUCAUCUCACGUGUUCCCGCAUUUUAAAACUGGUACUUGUCUAUCAGUAUUCAAUCAUAUUUAGUUCUAUACAUAAAUGUUUAUUUCAAAAUAGCUACUAAAGUUUUAUGACCAAUUCAUACCUUUACAAUCGGACAGUGAGUUAUGCUCUAGCCAAAAAAUAAUUAACUGACACAAAUUGCCUAGAUAUGGAAAACAUGCAGCAAUAUAUUGAUUCAUCAGGGACAGCGAUAAAAAUGGUUUGGUAAAUAUAUGGUUUCUAUUAGGAUUUUGUGUAGUCGUAUUGCAACAUUUCUGCCUGCAUAUGUAGUUCUGCAUUAGUAAAGUCUAGUGUCAGUAUGACAGUAUCAAUUUCAUAUGCUGUUUAAUGCCUGGUGACAGACAUUCCACCAUUUGAGCUCUUGUUUCCAUUGUGACAUCAUGACGGCUUUUGAGCCAAAAAUGUAUAUACCUGUAUAUUAAAUUUGAUUUGGAUUUCUCUACAGACUACAUGUGUUUCCAUGUUAUAAUAAUUCGCCUGUCUGCUUAGUUAGCACUUUGCUUUACCUCAAGUCAUAAUUUGCCUGUCUGCAUAGUUAGCACUUUGCAUAAUUUGCUUGCCUGCAUAGUGCAUAGUGAGUCGGCUCUUCACAACUAUUGGUAAGCUAUUUUAUUAGUGUCACAGCUUGCAUGCAGUUACUUUAUGAAGCCCAAACAUUGUUCCUAGCAGCGUGUUUGUACUUGUUAAUACUUUAAUUCUUUUCUCAGUUUGUUUGCGUCACUUCUUACAGUAGCUAGAAAGUGGUUCCUCAAUUUCAUUUGAUAUGAUCAUAAUAUUGUUAUUGUAGCCAUUUCAAGGUUGGUUUAGUUUGAUGAUAUUAACUGAGCUAACUCUUGAUUUCAAUCACGUAACCUUUCGAGUGUCAUUUCUAUUCUCUUCUUUAUCUAUGAGCUAGAACUAAUAGAAUGCAUGUGUGCAGGGGCAGGCCCAGGCCUAGGGCCAGUAGGGCCAUGGCCCUAGUCGUGGACCAAAAAUUUUAGGAGCAACUGUUUAUUUUUUUGGCCCAAGAAAGAAGCCCACGAGAAGACUAGCGCACAGACCACAGAGAAGUCGCAACGCUCACCCUCGCGUCGUCCCCUUCCCUCACGUAGUCACGCGGUCGCGCCGUCCUCGGCCCUUGCUCGCACGCGAAGGCGAAGUCCGCUGUGGCCAGGGGCGCCGUCGCCCGUCUGCCGUCCGCCCGUCCCCUCCCCUCGCAGUCGUAGGAAGGCAAGGCACUAGGGCCGACCGGCGACCGCGGCCGUCCGCUUGUCCCCUGCCGGCCUGCUUGGCUGCCCGCCGGCCGCCGUCCCGGGCUGGGCCUGCUCGCCCCUCGCCCUCGCCCAGAGGCUGUCCGCGACACAGCUCGGAGGCAGGGGCCGGACCUGGUCGGAGCCGAGCCAGAAGCCCCCUGCUCCCUGUCCGGCUGUUUCCCUGCUGACCUGCGUGGCUGCCGCCUGCCAACGCCCAGGGGAGCUGAAGCCCUCUUGUCCAGAAGCGUGGUCGUGAACGUGGAGUGAAGCUAAGGUAUUCACUCAAAUUUUGAGGAGUUCAGUUCUUUUCUCUUGAUUUCAACUGUUAAUUGUGUAUUUUUAUUUUAUUGUAAUUAGUCUUUUAGACGAAGAGGACAAGGAAUAUUGCAUCAUAUUUCUCCCGAGUUUGUGAACAAGAACAACGAAUCAUCCAAUCUCCACUGCUGCCAGAUCCAGAGCAAGAACAACGAAUCAUCCAUUCUUCACUAGACAAUAGGUAUUUAUUUUUUAAUGUUCAUUGAUAUUACAUAGCUACUGUAUUGUAGUAUUAAUUAUAUAGUUCAAGAAUUUCUUGGAUUUGCAAACUUUGCUUGAGAAUUUCUAUUUUCCUGUAACAUAUAUGUAUAUAUAUAGUUGUCAAGGGCCUGGCGAUCAAGGGUAGGCGGCCCUCGGCUACGAAGAUCGUAGCCUCCUACCGUUCUUCCGAUCCGGAGGUUAUACCCCUCACAGUCGACCGGGCUUGAGAGGUUUAGGGAGAGAGAGAGAGUUUAGAUAAAUGAUCUUGCUUGCUUUAUUCCCAAAGUCCUUCUCUCAUACAUAUAGCCCAUUGGCUGAGAUUAGAAGGAAAGCAACUAAUCCUUUCCUAUAAUCUAGGAUCUAAUCAAAUCUCCCAACCAAUCUUUCCUAACCAAUCUUUCCUAACUCAGCCUAGCCCCUGGCCGUGGCCUGGCCGUCGCGCGUGUCGAGCUGGGCGCGCUCUGCGCGCUCCUCAGCCCUUCUCAUGUCACGGCUGCGCCUGCGGCGUACAUAAGAUUGGCCCCACAUGACAUCUCUCACCCCCUCGAGACCCAGCUUGUCCCCGAGCUGAAAUUCUGGAUAAGAGACGCGGAAGUCGUCGAGGUCCUCCCAUGAAGCUGAAGACUCUGGUUCGCCGCGCCAGUAGACCAAGACUUGAGUGAUGCCACGGACCUUGCGAGCUUGAGUGACACAUUCAGGUGCCGGCACAACAGCGCCAUGUCGGAUGUCCGGCAAAGGAGGCGGGGUGGACGGGGGAGGCCCAUGGAACUUCUUGAGGGUCCCGAUGUGGAACACGUCGUGGAUGCGGGCCUGCGGGGGAAGCUCAAGCCGCACAGCCACUUCAUUGAUCUUCUGGACGAUGCGGUACGGACCCAAGUAGCGAGCCUUCAGUUUGCCUGCCGAGUGCGGCAAAGAUGCCACUGGUUGCUGACGGAAACGCAGCAGGACCCAAUCACCCACCGCAUAGGAGACAUGGCGGUGAUGACGGUCGUAGUGCAGCUUCUGCACUGCCUGGGCCUGUUCCAGACGAUGGCGCACCUCCGUGAGGAACUCCGUGCGUUCCUCCAUGUCUCGUGCCACGGCUGCGACUCUGGUGUCGCCGGGCUCAUAAGAGCGUAUAGUCGGGGGGUCGCGACCGUAGACCACGCGGAACGGCGUCUCCUGGAGUGAAGCUUGGUAGGCCGUGUUGUAGACAUACUCCGCCCAAGGCAGCCACCGGAGCCACUGGCGAGGGCGGUCCCCCGUAAAGCAACGGAGAUACAUAACGAUGACGCAGUUGGCCGCCUCGGAUUGGCCGUCCGACUGAGGGUGGAAGGCGGAGGUCAUAUGCAGCUUGGAGCCCAUCAGGCGCAUGAGCUCACGCCAAAAGGCCGACGUGAACACAGGAUCCCGGUCGGAGACGAUGGACUGUGGUAUGCCGUGUAGACGGAUGAUGUUGGUGAAGAACGCCUGGGCCACGAACUCAGCAGUGUACAGAUGGCCAAGCGCGAUGAAGUGGCCAUACUUACUGAAGUGAUCGACGACGGAGAGGAUGACCGACUUCCCUUCGACUCGCGGCAACGCCUCGAUGAAGUCCAUGCCGAUAUCAGCCCAAACUGCGGAUGGUAUCGGAAGUGGCUGCAGGAGUCCCGCCGGUAACAGGUGCUCUGACUUAAAGCGUUGACAGGUGGCGCAGCCCCGCACAAAGUCCUGCACGAUGCGGCGCAUGUGGGGAAAGUGGAAGUCGCGGUGCAGCCGAUGCCAUGUACGCUGCACACCCUCGUGUCCAUCAUCAUGGACUGCGGCCACAAUUUCCUGGAGCAGGGGCGAAGAGGGCGGGAUGUAGAGGCGCCCGUCAAAGAGCACCAUGUCGUCCUUGACCGUCCAGGGCGCGGUUCUGGACCCUGCUCGGAUUUCGUCGUGAAUGGCGGCCAAGGCUGGGUCGACGGCCUGUGCGUGACGGAGGCGGCUGAUGAAGUCGAAGCGCGGAGCUGAGAUGGAGCAGAGGCCGCCCAUGCUGUCCUCCUCAGCAUCCCGGCGUGAGAGAGCGUCGGCCACCACAUUGGUCGCCCCGGACUUGUACUCCACCGCGAAAUUGAAGCCGAGCAACUUGCCGACCCAGUGAUGCUGGGGUAUGGUGGCCAGGCGUUGGUCCAAAAGAAAUUUGAGACUGUGAUGAUCAGUCUUGACGGUGAAGUGGCGCCCCCAUAAAUAUGGCCGCCAGUGGCGCACGGCAAGCACGAGGCCAAUAAGCUCCCGCUCGUAUGCCGCGAGGGAGCGAUGCCUGGGUGCCACCGGCCUGCUGAAGAAGGCGAUCGGGUGACCAUCUUGGAGAAGCACGGCGCCGAAACCAUAUGUCGACGCGUCGCACUCCACGACGAACGGUCUGGCAAAGUCGGGGAGGGCCAAGAUCGGCGCCGUGGUGAUCGCGGUCUUGAGGUUGCUGAACGACGCCUCAGCCGUAGUACUCCAGGUGAAGCCGUCCUUCAAGAGCGCCGUGAGGGGCGCGGCGAUGGAGCCGUAGUUGUGGACGAAUUUCCGAUAGUAGCCCGCCAAGCCCAGGAAGCCACGCACUGCCCGGGCGGAACGGGGACGGGGCCACUCAUGGAUGGCCUGGACCUUGGCGGGAUCCAUGGCGACGCCGGCGGCGGAGAUGGUGUGCCCCAAGUAGGCCACGGCGUCCACCCCAAAACAGCACUUGGUGCGUUUGACGAACAACCGGUGCUGCCGCAGGAGCUCGAAGACGAUGCGGAGGUGCCUGAGAUGAUCUGUCUAGGAGACGCUAUAGAUCAAGAUGUCAUCGAAAAAGACUAAGACAAAUCGCCGAAGGUAGGCCCGGAGAACGUCGUUCAUCAGUGCUUGGAACGUGGCCGGGGCGUUGCACAGCCCGAACGGCAUCACCAAAAACUCGUAGAGGCCGUCGUGGGUGCGGAAAGCCAUUUUGUGGACGUCCUCGGGCCGCAUCCGCACCUGGUGAUAGCCGGAGCGCAAAUCAGGCUUGGUGAAGUAGCGCGUGCCGUGAAGCUCGUCGAGGAGCUCGUCCACCACCGGAAUGGGAAAAGCGUCCUUGACGGUGAGCGCGUUGAGGGCGCGGUAGUCGACGCAGAAUCUCCAUGAGCCAUCGGCCUUGUGGACAAGGAGAGCCGGGGAUGAAAACGGCGAGUUACUGCGACGGACGACGCCCUGCUCCAGCAUCGCGGCGCACUGGCGUUCCAGUUCAUCUUUGUGCGCGGCCGGAUAACGGUACGGCCGUACCGCGACAGGGGCGGAGCCUGGCUUGAGGAUGAUGGCGUGGUCCCGUGUACGCGGCGGGGGAAGGCCGGAUGGUGCGGCGAAGAUGUCCUCGUAGGCGGCCAGGAGCUCGUCCAGGAGCGUCCCACUGGCCGCGGCGAUGGUACGUAGGCUGGCCGCGGCGGAUGACGGUAUGCCUGUCCAAGUGAUGGUUCGGCCGUCGAGCUGGAAGGACAUGGCACGCUCGGCAAAGUUCCACACGAUGUCGCCGAGCGUUCGCAUCCAGCAGGUACCCAGCACCACUUCGUACCCUGCAGGUGGCAUAACAAAGAGAUCGGUGUGGAAGGCGGUGCCGUUGAUGGAGAAGGGUGCGUUCCUGAUGACGCCCGGGCAGGCCACGCGCUCGCCGUUGGCGACCGUGGCUGUCAAACGGGGGCGAUCCUGGAUCGGUAAGCCAGUGAGGCGCGUCGCGUCCUCGCUGAUGAAGCUGUGCGUGGAGCCACUGUCGAGCAGCGCGAGGAGGGAGGCCGCCCCCACCGUCGUCGUGAUCUGGAUGGUGUCUGAGACGGGCACGCCAGCGACCGCAUGCAUGGAGUAGCACGACGCGUCGGCAGCAGGGUCCUCUGCGGUGGCGUCCGCUAUGGCCACAGGAUCGUCCGCGGCAUCGAUCUCCACCCCAUCCACGAAGAAGAGCCUCUUGCAGAAGCGAUUGUGACCCCUGGUGUAUGGUUCAUUGCAGUUGAAGCAGAGUCCUUGAUGGCGUCGUUCCGCCAUCUCGGCCGGGGACAGCCGACGUUGAGGGCCCUCUCCUCGGCCCUGCGGCGCGGCCUCUGGGGGUGCCGGCAGGGCCAGCGGUUGCUGGGGCGCCGGCAGUGCCGGACGCGGCGCUGGUGCGGCCAGCAGGCCACGCGCGGGUGCCCUGGUAGGAGGUGGUGCCGGCCGGGAUAGCUCCAUCAACUCCACCUGACGGGCCAGACUCAUAGCUUCGGCGAGGGUGGUUGGGUGAUGAAGGCGGACAGCGUGGCUCAGCGGCGGCAGAAGGCCACCCGUGUAAAGCUGAACACGCUGGUCCUCUUUGAGGCGUCCCGCUCGGGGCAAGAGGGCCUGGAACCGAUUGGAGUAGUCGUCGACGGUGUCCGUACGCCGGCAUUCGGCGAGCUCGAACAUUGGCGCGGAGCGGAGAGGGGGGCCAAAUCGUAGAUGCAGGAGGUCCUUGAAGUUGGUCCAGUUUGGCGUGCCCUCGUCCGUCUGCAGCUGGAUGAACCAAAGCUGCGCGACGUCGUCGAGGUGAUAGGAUGCCAUGGAAACGCGGUCGUCCACCGGGGUUCGGUGUUGACGGAAGUAGGCGUCGCAUUUGUUGAUGAAGAGGAGCGGAUCCGUCGUGCCGUCGAAGCGGGGAAAAUCCCACUUCUUGUGCUUCGGGUGAAAGUCCUGCUCGUGAGGGCCCCUUGGACGGCGAGCGUCGUCGCUGCCGGAAGAGGAGGCGAACUUCUCCUUCAUGGAGGCCAUGUCGGCUUUGAGGACCAGCAGCUCGGCGGACAUGGACUUCAUCUCAGCGAAGAGGUCGGCGAGCGUGGGUUCGGCCAUGGUGGAGCGUAGGGUGGACGAGGCCGAGGUUGCUGGGGAUGGCGGCGGCGGCUGUGAUGGGGCUGCGUCGGCGGCGGAAGUGGAUUGGGAGGAGUUUAGAUAAAUGAUCUUGCUUGCUUUAUUCCCAAAGUCCUUCUCUGAUACAUAUAGCCCAUCGGCUGAGAUUAGAAGGAAAGCAACUAAUCCUUUCCUAUAAUCUAGGAUCUAAUCAAAUCUCCCAACCAAUCUUUCCUAACUCAGCCUAGCCCCUGGCCGUGGCCUGGCCGUCGCGCGUGUCGAGCUGGGCGUGCUCUGCGCGCUCCUCAGCCCUUCUCACGUCACGGCUGCGCCUGCGGCGUACAUAAGAUUGGCCCCACAUGACAAUAGUCCUAUAGACUAUAUUGUAGGUUGUAGCUUUUGGAUUUUGGCCACUAUAAUUUGAACACCAGGAUUUGGCCCUAGUCUUGGUUAAAUCCUGGGCCCGCCACUGCAUGCGUGCUAAUAUAUUUCAUUUUGAUAUAGGAAUUUAUCAAAGCCAAGUAUGUCUUGUAGACACUAAAUCUGGUUCCUCCUGGAUCUUCAAAAUGGGCUUAUGGUUUGUGCUAUUUUUUUGACAUGUUGUUUGCUUCUGCAUGCAAGAAAAGGUGAGGAAUCUGGAGCACAAGAUUAAAGGGGAAGGUACAUGCUCAGGAACCUAGUAUGUUACUAAGUUUAGCUCCUAGGAUAUUAGCUCCAAGUGGCAUCAGUAUAGGAUAUUAGCUCAAAGCCCUUCAUGCAUAUCUCUAUUGUACAGAUAUAAUGGUACUAAAUUUUUAUUGACCUGAAUAUAUUAUUGUAUAUUGUAUAAUGAAAUCAUUUGACAGUUUUUAUUUAUGGGAUGUAAAUCCAAAUGGUCUCUAUGAUUUAUAUGUGACAUCUGCAUGAAUUGAGAUGCAUGUGUAUAUGAUUGGAAUGCACGGUGGUAAGCCAGAGAUACAUGUAUCUAUGUGCAGUGUAAUAAAAUGUUUAUAUGGAUGUCAUCAUUGUCAACUCAGUUUGCCAACUAGAAUACUAAAAUUUAUAUAUUAUUGGAAGACUUUUUGUUGCUCAUAUGCAUUUUCUUGAGGGCUAGCCUCCAAGGAAGUCGAAUUAUUAAGCCUAAUUAAUCCAUCAUUAGCACAUGUUGGUUACUGUAGCAACUAUGACUAAUCAUGGACUAAUUAGGUAUAAAAGAUUUAUCUCGCUAUUUUACACCCAAACUGUGCAAUUAGGUUUUAUCUACAUGUAAUGUUUCAUGCAUAUGUUGAAAGAUUCGAUAGGAUAGGUCUAAGCAAGGCCUAAGUAACAGAUAAAGUAAAACAAUAGCUUCUAGCUAGUAGGAAGAGAAAAUAGAUAGCAGCUGCCAUGACUUAUUAGCAUUGUGGGUGGAAUUGGCCAAUGGUAGGAGCACUUACCACUCAAAUCGGGGAACCAAGCA
rnacentral:lncRNA from 1 species